rnacentral:lncRNA from 1 species
AUGCUCUGGCUGACCAGGAAAAGAAACUUCAGCUGGUCCUUCCUCUCCAGGUCCAUGGACGCACAUUUCUUUAUGCAUAACCCACUCUCCAGAGUGGGGACAACACGCGGCACAUGCACUGCAGUCACGAUGUGUGAACCGCCUGAAAGACAGUGGGGUGCUGCUCGAAGCCAUCUUCCUGGGAAGAUUUUAUUAAUUCCACAAAGCACUGGAAUUAUGUCGUUCACAAAAAAACUCAAUUUUUCCCAUUUCCCCCAUCUAAUAAUGAGAAAUGACAAGAGUAACUUCUAUUAGUCCAGACAAGAAAAGUAGGAAGAAAAAGAACAAAGUAAUGAAGGUUUAAUUUCUGUAAAUCACUCUUAAUAUAUGAUUUUUUUAAACACCCCACACAAACGCCCUGACUUUGAGCUUUUGGUGGAAAAACUGAUUUGGGGGGAAGCUCGACACCCAGCAGCAUGACAAGUACAAUAAUAAAUAGAUUAUCCAUAUCAGCUGAUAAGAAUUCAACUGCACGGCCAGACUGCAGCAGAUGUUUCCUUGUGCACCACAGUGCUAGAAAAAUGGACAAGGGACAUUUAAAAUUCAUUGCAGGGAGACUCUACAUUAUAAUGGAUCUCAUUAAUAUUAAUUAGGGCUUUUCCUCCCAAGCUACCAUGGUUGAU